AUGAUGUGCGUGGUAGUCCUGAA
rnacentral:siRNA from 1 species